rnacentral:rRNA from 1 species
GACGAACGCUGGCGGCGUGCCUAAUACAUGCAAGUCGAGCGGACCGAAUGGAAGCUUGCUUUCAUUCGGUUAGCGGCGGACGGGUGAGUAACACGUGGGUAACCUGCCCGUAAGACCGGGAUAACUCCGGGAAACCGGGGCUAAUACCGGAUAACACCGAAGACCGCAUGGUCUUCGGUUGAAAGGUGGCUUCGGCUACCACUUACGGAUGGGCCCGCGGCGCAUUAGCUAGUUGGGGAGGUAACGGCUCACCAAGGCGACGAUGCGUAGCCGGCCUGAGAGGGUGACCAGCCACACUGGGACUGAGACACGGCCCAGACGCCGACGGGAGGCAGCAGUAGGGAAUCUGCCGCAAGGGACGAAAGUCUGACGGAGCGACGCCGCGUGAGCGAAGAAGGUCUUCGGAUCGUAAAGCUCUGUUGUUAGGGACGAAGAAGUACCGUUCGAAUAGGGCGGUACGGUGACGGUACCUAACGAGAAAGCCCCGGCUAACUACGUG